UAUAUAUAUAUAUAUACACAUAUUCUGAGAUAUUAUUGUGCGCACUUGCUACUUAUGUUUUUAAUGAUCAAAGAAUUGACCUUCAGACUUUAAGAAAAAUAUAUUGCAAUAUUUAUAUUUUGGAAUUUAAAAAAUUUUUAAAUUUAUUAUUUUU